ACCCAACCUAAGGAACUGGAAUCUGCAUUUUAACAAGAUGCCCUGGUGAUUUGUGUGUACCGAGUUUGGGACACCACUUGAGGCCAAGACCUCUGAGUGUAACAACAGACUGAGAGAAUUCCUGAUUGGGGAUCUGGAAACUCCAGGAGAUUGGACCUGCACCAGAGAGAAAAUUUGGAAGAGAUGGAGGCAGAUGUGGAGCCAUGGAAGUCAAAUGCUGAGGAUGGUGGCAUCAUAGGAUGAAUGGAGCUGGGUUCUUGAAACACUGCCUGGAGGAAAGACAGCAAAAAUGCCUCAUGAAUCCAACUGGACUGUUAGGAUGCUCACCCUUGGAGACCAGCAACAAUGUGUGCAGAAACCCAGGCCAU
rnacentral:lncRNA from 10 species